rnacentral:rRNA from 1 species
GGACUACCGGGGUAUCUAAUCCUGUUUGCUACCCACGCUUUCGUGUCUCAGCGUCAGUCAUGGUCCAGUAAGCUGUCUACACCACAGGUGUUCCUCCUGAUAUCUACGCAUUUCACCGCUACACCAGGAAUUCCGCUUACCUCUCCCAUACUCUAGCACUCCAGUCUGCGGCGCACCCUCCCAGUUAAGCCGGGAGAUUUCACACCACACUUAGAGCACCGCCUACACACUCUUUACGCCCAGUAAUUCCGAACAACGCUUGCUGCCUACGUAUUACCGCGGCUGCUGGCAC